rnacentral:tRNA from 1 species
AUUCUAUUAGUAUAUAAGUAUAUUUAAUUUCCAAUUAAAAGGAUUAAUAUUUUAAAUAGAAUA